CGGCGUGCCUAACACAUGCAAGUCGUACGAGAAAGCCGGCUUCGGCUGGUGAGUAAAGUGGCGCACGGGUGAGUAACGCGUGGAUAAUCUGCCCUUAAGUGUGGAAUAACGUACCGAAAGGUGCGCUAAUACCGCAUAAUGCCUGGCAACACAAGUUGUCCGGCCAAAGAAGGCCUCUGUUUACAAGUCUUUCGCUUCAGGAUGAGUCCGCGUACCAUUAGCUUGUUGGUGGGGUAAUGGCCUACCAAGGCUGCGAUGGUUAGCUGGUCUGAGAGGAUGAUCAGCCACACUGGAACUGAGACACGGUCCAGACUCCGUACGGGAGGCAGCAGUGAGGAAUAUUGCGCAAUGGGGGCAACCCUGACGCAGCAACGCCGCGUGAGUGAGGAAGGUUUUCGGACUGUAAAGCUCUGUCGAGCGGGAAGAAGUGUACCAUGGCUAAUAUCCAUGAUAUUUGACGGUACCGCUAGAGGAAGCACCGGCUAACUCCGUG
rnacentral:rRNA from 1 species